GUAAUAUAAGAACCGUUUCUUAACUUCAACUAAGAAAAACUAAGAACCGUCUCUUAAAACUCUUAUUUAAGAGCCGGUUCUUAGUUUUUUCUUAGUUACAAGUUAAGAGAUGAUUCUUAUAUUAC
rfam:Brassica napus, WGS project CCCW01000000 data, contig: 2714